rnacentral:rRNA from 1 species
UCGGGAAUUUUGCGCAAUGGACGAAAGCCUGACGCAGCAACGCCGCGUGAGGGAUGACGGCCUUCGGGUUGUAAACCUCUUUUAUCAGGGAAGAUAAUGACGGUACCUGAUGAAUAAGUCACGGCUAACUACGUGCCAGCAGCCGCGGUAAUACGUAGGUGACAAGCGUUGUCCGGAUUUACUGGGCGUAAAGAGCGCGCAGGCGGUCGAUCAAGUCGAGUGUGAAAGCCCCCGGCUCAACUGGGGAGGGUCAUUCGAAACUGGUCGACUCGAAGGCAGGAGAGGGUAGUGGAAUUCCCGGUGUAGUGGCGAAAUGCGUAGAUAUCGGGAGGAACACCAGUGGCGAAGGCAGUCCCCUGGGCCUGUACUGACGCUCAUGCACGAAAGCGUGGGGAGCAAACAGGAUUAGAUACCCUUGUAGUCCCUGAGCGGGCUGGCAAGGCGCAU